UGGGGAAUAUUGGACAAUGGGCGAAAGCCUGAUCCAGCCAUGCCGCGUGUGUGAAGAAGGUCUUCGGAUUGUAAAGCACUUUAAGUUGGGAGGAAGGGCAGUUACCUAAUACGUGAUUGUUUUGACGUUACCGACAGAAUAAGCACCGGCUAACUCUGUGCCAGCAGCCGCGGUAAUACAGAGGGUGCAAGCGUUAAUCGGAAUUACUGGGCGUAAAGCGCGCGUAGGUGGUUAGUUAAGUUGGAUGUGAAAUCCCCGGGCUCAACCUGGGAACUGCAUUCAAAACUGACUGACUAGAGUAUGGUAGAGGGUGGUGGAAUUUCCUGUGUAGCGGUGAAAUGCGUAGAUAUAGGAAGGAACACCAGUGGCGAAGGCGACCACCUGGACUGAUACUGACACUGAGGCACGAAAGCUAGGGUAGCGAACGGGAUUAGAUACCCAAGUAGUCCCUGAGCGGGCUGGCAAGGCGCAU
rnacentral:rRNA from 1 species